AAUCCGUGUUGUGGGCACUUUCUCAGGAGCUCCUUGAACUUUUCCAGCAUCUCAAAUAGAGACUCCAAUUCUGACUGCAUAAAGGACGAGAUCUCAUUCAUAAGUUU